GUGGUACCUGGAAUCACGGUUAGCGAGGCCUCCAUACUUUUACGUCGGUGGGCUACAGUGGCAGCAAUACAACGAUAAUUUCCAGAAUCCCUUUGGCUGACAUCAUAGAUCUGCAAUACUCCUGUUGGAUAUUUAUCUGCAAACAUUUUAAUUUUGGAUCUAAACCUAUGGACCAUCCCCUGCUGUUUAUCUACUAAAGAAUUAGGAAACAGAUGGCUAGACUCACCUUUAAAAUAUCAGCUUCACAUUCAGGCAGAACAACCUGAUUUCUCAAUAAUCAGUCAGUGCUAACGUAAACCAAGAGCCCCACAAGAAGUCAUUAAAGCUGUG